UAGAUAAUGAAAAAUGAAGCCAAAUAUUUUUUAUUUUAACUCAUAGUGUUCUAUCCACUGCAAGGUUUAUUUGAUAUCCAAAAAAGAACACACAAGGCAUGAAAAUUUUCUCCCUUUUGGAUGCUUUUCAGGACUACCAAUGAACAAAAGCAUUCCUUCACAAAAUUAUGCUGAGUAACUCUUAUUUUCUUGGGUGUCAGUUUCAAGAGUGGCAUCAGACUUCAAAAUGAAUACGUGAAGGCUACAAUUGCAUCCUAUUUUGUCAUAGAAUCACAGAAUAUUCUGAGUUGGCUUCCUUUCUCUAAUGGACAGAAACUUCAUAGGGAAAAUCUUUGUGGCCCAAGCCAAGUCAGGCUGUCAAGGCAUGGAUGGUGACUAAGAAGCAGAAGUCCAGGGCCUGUAUGCAGCUGAUCAUCACUCACAGUUCCUCACCUCCUCACUGGAGACUCUGCCCAUGUCCCCAGCUCAUGUCUGGGAUUUAGCAGCCCUCUGUGAAGGGCACACUAUGGACAUCAGUAUAGCCAUUUCUACUGGGCUGCUUUGCCAAUGUGUGUGAUCACCAUUACUUACAGGGAAGAGCUCUAGGAUUAUGAAGGUAAUUCACAUCACUUAGUUCUUGGAUUUAAUUCAACAUGUUAUAAGAGGGUGACAAGUUCUUCUUUUUUUGGAUGAUGAAUUUCAGGAGCAAUAUGACAGGAAUAUUAAUCCUCUUGCAUUAACUCAAAGUGUAUUUUUUAAGAUACUAAUCUAAACAUUUUUAGCUUAAAUAUUUUUCAGUACCCAAUCCAGCCUAAAUAGGACUUGUGAUUUAAACUGAAGAACUCUAGGGGUACAAAUGGUGUUUCUCACUUUGAAACUAAAUAGUAACCCAAAAGCACAAAACCUGGAACUUCUCCUUCAAACAUUGUACGGACUGGUUUGUGAGAUCAAGUAUUGGGUUCCUUCCCACUUGGAAUUUCCAUUCUAAUGAGAUGACAUUGUAUUAUUGUGUGAAAGAUUGUUCUGGCAGAAGUAUGACUUUCUUACAACACCUCAAAGGAGCCAGAGAGGCAGAGGAGAAAGAGUUGGAACCAAAUACUUCUGACUUGAGAGGAAAGACUGUACAAACAAGCACUUGUCUCCAAGACCUUGAAUACAUAUUCCAGGAGGAGGAACAUUAUUAUUUUUUUCCUGGAACUCCAGGGCCAACUAAUGAAGGGCAUUGUUCCACUAUGUAGCACCAGAGAAUCUGUUACUAUAAAAGCGAUGGAGAGCAAGGAAUCGGAGCAUGUCCACAUCCUUUUCGCCUCUUGGACUUCUUGGAUGGCCUGAUGUCUCCUCUUGAAGCUGCUAAAAGGCCUGUUUGCUUGAUUUCCAAAUGUGAUUUUGACAGGGAAGAGUGUUAAAUGUCAAAUAUUUACUAGGCAACUGGAUUAAAUCUCCAGUGUCCAAAGAAGCCCAUGCUCUAAUAUACUGCAGAUGUACUUCUAAGCUUUUAACUGCAAUAAUAAAAAUAGAGAUUUCAUCAUUCAUUUUAAGCACAGCCUUUAAGGAGCUUCUGUAUUAAUAUGGCCUAUCAUAAAAUGAUUAAGUUUCAUUAGACAAUAAUAGAGAUAGAAGGGAUAGAAAUAUCAUGAAUCUAGUUCUCUUAAUUCCAAAAUUGCAUACUUUCCCUUCCACUGUUAGAAAAAAUAAAUCAGAUUACUUGAAAAUUUCUGAGAUUGUAAAAACUUUGAAAUCUUUUAUAAAGGUCUACAAGAAUAUGAAAUGUGGAGAAUUGUACACGAAGAAUGAGGGGCAUGCACCUGACUUUGAGCUCAGCUCUACUAUACAAAGCCAGCUCACAAUACAGGCUUGUAACAAAUUGGGCAAUCCAAGAUGCCAUAGUCAAGAACUGUAUGAAACACAGGGAUCAUUUGUACACAUAGAGAUGAAAAAUACGGCUGUUGUUUUCACUCAGAGAUUAUAAUCAUAUCCCUGGGCUGCAGGAUAAGGCAGCUUUCUUGGUUCAUGAGCAUUAAGAAACAACUCUUCCAUUGUUAACCUUCCUGAGGAGAGGCUGCAAAUGCAGGGUCCUGCAGGAAACAAAGAUGUGGAAAUCAUUUAGUGCAACCCUACACUUAGACAGGUGCCACUCUUACUCUUUUUAAUUGAUCUAAUUUGUUACUUAUACCUGUAAAAUCACACUGUUAUCGUCUCUGAACAAGCAAUGGAAACCAGAAUUUGUCACUGACUAAAGAUAGCAGACCAAGCCCUGAAAUGGGCUGGUCAUAUAGUCUUACUGGCUUAAUUACACAACAGUACAUUAGAUUGAAAUGCGAUACUUAGAAAAAUCCAAAUUACAUGCAGGCCUCUUGUUUCUUUAUCCCACAUUGACACAAAACACAGUUCAAAUGCAACUGCUAGAAGAGUAAGUUAUAGUCUUCUGAGACAGACAGAGCCAGACACGGAUGCAGACCUGACCCAGUCAAAGAUUUUUGCAGUAAGAUUAAUCUUAUACUGAUCUAAAAGUCUACGCUGAUAGCAUGGUGCUCACAUCCCAAAGCUGCUGCAGUGUCAUGACAGGAACAGGAGUAUCCUGAAGAUGAAGGGCUGGGAGCCUUCUUAGAAGGAUAAAUUCAGUUAUUUAGGAAUAGGUAACAUUCACAGGAUUUAAUUUUCUCUCCUUAGAAUCACUCAGUUCUGAAUAAAGUCCCAUAUAUAUUUAAAAAGCUGCUUCACUAACACCCCUAUAACUCACAACUACUCAUUUUUCAAGCAGGUUUCCUUGAGUCUAGUUCACACUUAAGGCCAACACUUAGACUUCUUAUAGCCAGCUCUUGGAGGUAGUAGUGUGGAGAAACCAUAUUUCUUUAAUUUUUUCCACCUUCUCUUAAGACCAGAGAGAUUUGUCUCCUUUUGUUUUUCUAUCUACCUGUGACAACACUAGUGGACAGACACAAGUUCCAUGCUAGACAUUACCCAGUUUCUGAAUCCUGAAAACAAAUCCUAAGAAAGUGGUAAAUAGACUCAUAGAAUUACAGAAACAUUAAGGUUUGAAGAGAACUCCAAGACCAUCAAGUCCAACCUUUGACCAAAUACCACCAUGCCAAAUAAAACAUAACACAAAGUGUCAUGACUGCUCGUUUUUUGAAUACUUGUAGGGGUGGUGAACCCAUAAUUUCCUUGGGCAGCCUGUUCACAUUCUUUAACACUUUUUAUUUGAAGAAAUUUUUCCCAAUAUCCAACCUGAACCUCCCUUGGAGCAACUUCGAUGUCCUCUUGUCCUGUUGCUGGUUGCCUGGAAGAAGGGACAAACCUGCACCUCAU